rnacentral:rRNA from 1 species
UACGUAGGGGGCAAGCGUUGUCCGGAUUUAUUGGGCGUAAAGAGCGUGUAGGCGGCUAGAUAGGUCCGUUGUGAAAACUCGAGGCUCAACCUCGAGACGUCGAUGGAAACCAUCUGGCUAGAGUCCGGAAGAGGAGAGUGGAAUUCCUGGUGUAGCGGUGAAAUGCGCAGAUAUCAGGAAGAACACCGGUGGCGAAGGCGGUUCUCUGGGCAUUACCUGACGCUGAGGAGCGAAAGUGUGGGGAGCGAACAGG